AUUCACUUUCAAGGUGGUUGAUCUGCAACUCAUAAAUUGAUAAGAGGAAAUUAUCAAAGCAAGAUCAGAGAGAAUUUAAACCAAUACCACUUCCUAUUAAGAAAGUACUAAAUUGCAAAGUAAUUGUCACUGAUGGGAUAGUUUCCAUGGCUGGCUGAUGAUGUCAAUAACCACUCAGAGGAUUUGCUGCCGACAAUUAAAUGAAUGAAUGUAGAUAAAAAGGUUUUUCUAAUAAAUUUCUAAAUCAAUUCCCAAAAAGUAAAUUCAGGCUAUCAGUAUUGCAAUAGAAGUCCAUUAAUGCACCCUUCCAAUUCAGUAAAACUGCUUUCAAAAAUAAAAAACAGCAGAAGCUAAAUUACCAUCUCUAUUUUGCAAUGUGCCAAAUGGGACUACAAUAGAUUGUACUUUUACAAAAACCAAAGCCAGUAUGCUAACCACAACUAGUUUCAGCCAUGGCAAAGUAAGUCUUAUGUACAAGGUGUCCCAGUCCCUAACAAUUUGCAGUGCUCUUCAUUAAUGUUUCUGUUUAUUUUUUAGAGCACCAUUUUCAACAUGGAUAUGAAGUCCGUAAUCCAAGUCUCUGGCUCAAAUGGUUGAUGGUUUCUUUCCUUUUUCGAUAUGCAGGUUUAAGAUGAAAGGACUAAUCUGUCCUCAGCAUGAACUCUUCUCCACAGCAAUUGACACAGAUUUGGAAGGGACAUUCUGCUUAGAUUGACGAGAAUUAAAGAUAAAACACCCAAUCUGCAAAGUCAACCAUUGUAAAAUUCCUCACUCUGACCAACACGGAAUUAAGGGAACACAACAUGAUACCUCCUCUUUGACAGCCGACAGUUCACCAUCCUUUUUGUUUA
rnacentral:misc_RNA from 1 species